GACGAACGCUGGCGGCGUGCUUAACACAUGCAAGUCGAACGGAAAGGCCCUGCUUGCAGUGUACUCGAGUGGCGAACGGGUGAGUAACACGUGGGUGGUCUGCCCUGCACUUCGGGAUAAGCUUGUUAAACUGGGUCUAAUACCUGAUAGGAGCCAUCUUUAGUGUGGUGGUUGGAAAGUUUUUUCGGUUUAGGAUGAGCUCGCGGCCUAUCAGCUUGUUGGUGGGGUAAUGGCCUACCAAGGCGGCGACGGGUAGCCGGCCUGAGAGGGUGUACGGCCACAUUGGGACUGAGAGAAGGCCCAGACUCCUACGGGAGGCAGCAGUGGGGAAUAUUGCACAAUGGGAGCAAGCCUGAUGCAGCGACGCCGCGUGGGGGAUGAAGGCCUUCGGGUUGUAAACUCCUUUCGCUAGGGAAGAAGCUUUGUUGUGACGGUACCUAGAUAAGAAGCACCGGCUAACUACGUG
rnacentral:rRNA from 1 species